UACGUAGGGCGCAAGCGUUAUCCGGAAUUAUUGGGCGUAAAGAGCUCGUAGGCGGUUUGUCGCGUCUGCCGUGAAAGUUCGGGGCUCAACUCCGGAUCUGCGGUGGGUACGGGCAGACUAGAGUGAUGUAGGGGAGACUGGAAUUCCUGGUGUAGCGGUGAAAUGCGCAGAUAUCAGGAGGAACACCGAUGGCGAAGGCAGGUCUCUGGGCAUUAACUGACGCUGAGGAGCGAAAGCGUGGGGAGCGAACAGG
rnacentral:rRNA from 1 species